UACGAGGGGGGCGAGCGUUAUUCAAAAUGACUGGGCGUAACGAGCAUGUAGACGGUUUAUUAAGUUGGUUUUCAAUUUUAAAAUUGAGAAAACAUUAUUGUUUUAAUUCUUUUUUAUUUUCAUAAAAAAGAAAUAAAACAAUUUUUUGUGUUAUAAAUUCCAAAGCUCAACUUUGGUAAGUGACCCAAUACUAGUAAACUAGAGUAAGUAAGAGGAAAGUGGAAUUCCUGGAGGAGAGAUAAAAUUUGUAGAUAUCAGGAGGAACAUCGAAAGCGAAGGCAAUUUUCUGGUACUUUACUCACGUUGAGAUGCAAAAGCGUGAAGAGCAAACGGC
rnacentral:rRNA from 1 species